GGGGAAUAUUGCACAAUGGGCGCAAGCCUGAUGCAGCGACGCCGCGUGGGGGAUGACGGCCUUCGGGUUGUAAACCUCUUUCAGUAGGGACGAAGCGUAAGUGACGGUACCUAUAGAAGAAGCACCGGCCAACUACGUGCCAGCAGCCGCGGUAAUACGUAGGGUGCGAGCGUUGUCCGGAAUUACUGGGCGUAAAGAGCUCGUAGGUGGUUUGUCGCGUUGUUCGUGAAAACUCACAGCUUAACUGUGGGCGUGCGGGCGAUACGGGCAGACUGGAGUACUGCAGGGGAGACUGGAAUUCCUGGUGUAGCGGUGGAAUGCGCAGAUAUCAGGAGGAACACCGGUGGCGAAGGCGGGUCUCUGGGCAGUAACUGACGCUGAGGAGCGAAAGCGUGGGGAGCGAAC
rnacentral:rRNA from 1 species